CGUAUGGUGCAAGCGUUAUCCGGAUUUACUGGGUGUAAAGGGAGCGCAGGCGGUGCGGCAAGUCUGAUGUGAAAGCCCGGGGCUCAACCCCGGUACUGCAUUGGAAACUGUCGUACUAGAGUGUCGGAGGGGUAAGUGGAAUUCCUAGUGUAGCGGUGAAAUGCGUAGAUAUUAGGAGGAACACCAGUGGCGAAGGCGGCUUACUGGACGAUAACUGACGCUGAGGCUCGAAAGCGUGGGGAGCAAACAGGAUUAGACUA
rnacentral:rRNA from 1 species